AACCCCUCACUUAACGGCCUAGUUAUGUUCUUGAAAAAUGCAACUUCAAGUGAAACAGUGUUAAGCAAAUCCAAUUUCUCCGUAAGAAUUAAUGUAAAUAGGGUGAGUUAGGUUCAAGGGAAAUUUUUAUCUCCAGACAAAAGUCUGU